GACGAACGCUGGCGGCGUGCUUAAUACAUGCAAGUCGAACGGAAAGGCCUUGUUUUUGUGGGAUGCUCGAGUGGCGAACGGGUGAGUAAAACGCGAGUAACCUGUCCUUGUCUUUGGGGUACCAUAUGGAAACUGGGGUUAAUAUAGGAUAGAAAAACUUGAUGCACGGUGGGGGUUGGAAAGAUACGGCGGUUUGGGAUGGACUGGCGGUUCAUCAGCUUGUUGGUGAGGUGGUGGCUUAACAAGGCUCUGACGGGUAGCCGGCCUGCGAGGGUGACCGGCCACAUUGGGACUGGGAUGCGACCCGUACUGCUACGGGAGGCAGCAGUGGGAGAUAUUGCACGAUGGGCGGAGUCCGGAUGCAGCAUCUCCGCGUGCUAGAUGACGGCUUUCAGGUUGUAAACCUCGUGCGCCUGUGACGAUGCGCGAGUGACGGUAAUUGGUAAAGAAGCACCGGCUAACUACGUG
rnacentral:rRNA from 1 species